ensembl:lncRNA
CAUUGUCGAAGCUGUGGAUUGUAUUGCUGUUGUGUGAUAACCAGAGUAGAGUGAAGAGUCUUUUUGUUUUACUGUGUGAUUUCAGUCUAGUCAGAGUCUUGUUAAGUGUUUGUCUUUUCCCUAGUCGUUGUUUUCCCCCUCGUGGGUUUUGUUUUCCCUUUUGUCAGUAAUAAACCUUGUGCGUAGUGCAUCCUGUCUGCGCUUGAGUUCAUCCCCGCAUCCUCGUGACACUACAAAUUUGCAGAUGACAAAGUUCAUCAUGAAACUGUUUGCGAGGUUCAUUAAAGCCGUUAGCACUACAGGACCGACAAGUCCAUGACAUCCUCUACAUGGACCCACUAAACCAACUUCCAGGAGAAAAACAAAAUAUUGGCUUCACCAACAGAGCUACCCUCAACAGGCUGCUUGAGGCUGGAGACAUCACACCUCAGGAGGUGCAGCUAUUCCAGCAGGCAGCAUUAGCGUUUCUGGUCAGGGCUGUGGAGUAUGGAAUCAAAACUCCCCCUGAAGGAGGCCCUGCUGAAGCAUGCUCAAUUUGUUGAUGUGCAGCAGAGGACGAAGUGUGGGGUGGAAGAUGCCCUAUACUUCGUAGACAGGCAAGGGUUUCACAUUUUCUAAGAUUUCAACAUUUAAUACUUUAAGUUUAAUUUGGACCAUGGUCACAAAACAAAUACUUAAUCUGUUUUUACACAUGGUGCUCUUUUUAGAAUUCAGGAACUACUUCCUUUCAAUGGGCCAGAGGAACAGUACAAGGUGAGUGAGGAGUUCUUGGAAUAUCAACUCAUGGAUAUUCCCAUGCCACAAGAUCCCACCACCUUUAACGUUGACGAGUUUGGGGGGAGUAUGUCCUCAAUCAACUGCAAAGUGACUGGUUUGAGCCAGUUUGGGAGGCUUUCUAAAAUAGCUGCAUUGGUGUAAGUGUUCCCUCAUUCAAAUGCCGACGCUGAGAGGGUUUUCUCCAUGGUGGGAUUAAACAAGACCAAAACCAGGAACAGCUUAGCACUUGAUGGAACCCUGUCAUCCAUCAUGACAGUAAAAAUGGCUGGCCUGGAACCACAGUGCUUCAAAUGGGAGCCACCAACCCCUGUGCUGAAGGCCUCAAAACCAGCUACCAACACCUACAAUAAACAACACUGACCAUUAUCUCUCUCACACACACACACAAAUAAAUGCUGAAUUAAAUAAAUAUUAUUUUAUUUGUAAGAUUAUGUGUCAUUUAUGAGAUCAGACACCCAUCCCCA